UACGAAGGGGGCUAGCGUUGCUCGGAAUCACUGGGCGUAAAGCGCACGUAGGCGGAUUGUUAAGUCAGGGGUGAAAUCCUGGAGCUCAACUCCAGAACUGCCUUUGAUACUGGCGAUCUCGAGUCCGGGAGAGGUGAGUGGAACUGCGAGUGUAGAGGUGAAAUUCGUAGAUAUUCGCAAGAACACCGGUGGCGAAGGCGGCAUCCUGGACCGAGAUUGACGCUGAUGCGCGAAAGCCAGGGGAGCAAACGGG
rnacentral:rRNA from 1 species